rnacentral:lncRNA from 1 species
AGAAACUCUCAAUCUGGGAUGUACUAAUUCCUCACAUUUGCUUCAAGAGCUUCUCCACUUAUGUGCUGUGGAUAUCCCUGGCUAUUGUAAAGAGAUUGAGUUCUUGAUUUGAUUCUCCGCUUGAACGCUGUUGGUGUAUUCAACAGUCUAAGAAAGGAGUUACAGUGUUGACUGAGGUGAUUGACCCAGACUAUCAAGAUGAAAUCAGUCUAUUGCUCCACAGUGGAGGACUUUGAAAAACAUAAUUUUCUGAAAAUGUUGUGGAAACCCAAAAUAAUAAUAAUAACCUUACAGCAGUAUCAUAAAGAAUGGGAGAAAAAAAGUGUGCUAUCCCUCUCCUCCUCCUCCCCAUUUCCCUCUCCAGCUCCUGUUUUCCGGUCCUGAAAAAUAAUCCUGGAACUUAUUAAUAAGAGGAAGUCAAAUUCUACCACAAUGUUUUUAAGACACUGUCUCUUUCCCCAACUGGCUAAUAAACUCAUGUAGAACAUAGAUUAUCCCUAUUCAUCUUUACAUCCAAGUGACUAUUAAACUAAAGGAACACAAGGGUUUGAUGAAAAAGCAAGAAUCUAGUGACUCUCUUGUGAAAAAUGUAUAUAAACUCUGAUCUUCAUGGGUUCCCUCAACAGUUAAACUAUUCUUCUGUGUUUUGCGUAUUUUUGUCUGAUUUUUGUUUGUUUAUUUCUAAAACAAGUUAGCUCUAUGAGACAGAGAAUGAAUUUCUUCAAUAGGCUCUUUGUGUUUAUGAAGGACUUUGAGGAUCAAGUUGAAUAUAAAUGAAGAAUGGACAUCUUGCCUGGGCUAAAUUUCAAGAGAAAUAAGUUUAAUAUUUCACCUUUGUGUAUUACAUUAGCUAUAUGCAUGAUGAUACCUAAAGAGUUGUUGUCAGAUUGUUUAAAUCAUAUUAAAGAAAUUCAAUUUCUAGUUUCCUGCGAGUUUUAACUAUGGUUAGACAUUGAAUUUUGUCAUCUAUUUUUCUGUAUUUUCUGAAAUAAUGUCCUUCAUUUUUUUACAAGAAUGAACAUUUGGAAACCAAUAUUAUACUAUUUAAAUUACCCUCACAUAGUUAUGAUGUAUCAUCUAUUUUAUACAUUAUUAUAUUCAGUUUGCUAAUAUUGUAUUAAUAGUUUUUAUGUCUAUCAUUAGGAGUAUUGGUUGAAAAAAUUCAG